AUUGAACGCUGGCGGCAGGCCUAACACAUGCAAGUCGAGCGGCAGCGACAACAUUUGAAUCUUCGGAGGAUUUGUUGGGCGGCGAGCGGCGGACGGGUGAGUAAUGCCUAGGAAAUUGCCCUGAUGUGGGGGAUAACCAUUGGAAACGAUGGCUAUACCGCAUGAUGCCUACGGGCCUAAAGAGGGGGACCUUUCGGGCCUUCUCGCGUCAGGAUAUGCCUAGGU
rnacentral:rRNA from 1 species